GCUAUGGUCAAUUUAGGUCACACAACUCACUUGAUGGCAUUGUAGUACUGCUGCAGUUCGGACUCGUCCCACCUCAUCCAGUCCACAUACACAGACAUAUAUAUGUAUAUUCACACGCACUAACACAAAAUUCUGAUUGCCGCUGCCUCAACCCGCAGCAUUUGUCAUUGUGUCGUGUUUUUGUUUGCCUUUGUAAAGGAAACACUGCAACACAUGUAUAUACACAUUUGUGCAUAUGUUUGUAUUUCGUAUGUACACAGAUUGCCUGAUAAUGUCUGUUAAAAACCUCUGGAUUUGCAAUUUGAGUCAUCAGCGCGGCAUUCGACAUUCAUUGAGAUAAUAAAUUCCAUGGAAACUGUCCACAUCCGCUUGAGUGUUUCGUUAUUGCAAUUGCACCAACUGUAAUGCAUUUAUUUGUUGAUUUGCAGUUGUCCUUGAAUUUGCAAAAUAAAAUCGAUCGGUCAAUACACACGCGUACACACACUGACACAAACCGCACUCACAUACGUGAACGGAAGCAAUUACUACGUAGCAGACACAGUUUUUCCAGCAUCGAAAACGCUUGCAUUUUGCAACAUCAUAUUCACUUUUCACUAUCCUGUGCUUUGCUUAUGAUUCAUUUACCUUAUUAGCACACUUUUUAAAACAUAUUUGCACUUUUUAACUCAAUCUUACCCAUUUUAUUUUUGCGUGUGCAUUGUUUGGGAGUACUGCAUCUUUACCAGUGUGAGCUCAAGCGUCUAAAUUGAAAACACCACUUUGAUUUUAUAGAAAUAUACCAACUCAAGAAUGCACCCUUGGUAAGGUCACACUUUGCUGCUAAUCCACAGUGCCAUUUUGAGUUUAACAUGUAAACAAAUAAUUUGAGGUAGCAGCUGUUAAGCGAAAAACAGCUGUGCAAGCCUCAAAAACAACCAAUCAUAAACAAAUAUGAACUUGCAAAUAUUUCAUUUAAAAAAACACAUGAAUCGCAAAUUGAAAGCUGAACUUGCGGUAUAACAAACUGUGCACGCGCACGAAACAAAAAUUAGAAACGAAUUAUUUUUGCAAAUAUACAAGACAAACACACCUGUUUUGUUUUUAAAUUGGAAGCAUACUGAGUUCAUGUACAUUAUAUAUAAUUGAUUACUUCAUGGCUUGCAAUAGAAAUAAAACAGUGAUUAGAUUUAAAUGUGAAA